CGUCUAUAUACGUAUAGCAUAUCAAUAAGCGGAGGAAAAGAAACUAACUAGGAUUCCCUUAGUAACGGCGAGUGAAGCGGGAAGAGCUCAAAUUUGAAAUCUUCAAGGUUCUACCUUGACGAAUUGUAGUUUAAAGAAGUGUUUUCUGUUAGAGUAGUAGCUAAAAGUUCCUUGGAAUAGGACAUCAUAGAGGGUGAGAAUCCCGUAUUUGACUUAUUACUUUCUAGCGUUGUGAUACACUUUCAAAGAGUCGGAUUGUUUGGGAAUGCAGUCCAAAAUGGGUGGUAAAUUUCAUCUAAAGCUAAAUAUUGGCGAGAGACCGAUAGCGAACAAGUACCGUGAGGGAAAGAUGAAAAGAACUUUGAAAAGAGAGUUAAACAGUACGUGAAAUUGUCAAAAGGGAAGCGUUUGACACCAGUGUUGUUUUUCCGAAAAUCAAUUAAGAGUGGCUUGAUUUUGUGUUGUAUUGACCUUAUCAGCUUUCUUCACUCUUUUUCGAGUCUUUCUUAAUGCACUUUUCGGUUAACAAGUCAACAUCAAUUUCUUUUGUUGUAAAAGGGCAUUUGGAAGGUGGCUUUCUUUUCGGAGAAAGUGUUUAUAGCCUUAUACCUCUACAAUCGGAGAGAUUGAGGUCUGCAGCGUAGAUCCUUCGGGGCUAGAUACACUUGUGCUAAGUUAUAGCUUUUCAUAGACAACUUGUUGACUAUGUUUAGUCAUGUAGCUUACCCGCUUGUGCUAUUUUACCUACGCUUAGGAUGUUGAGUCAUCACACAUCUCU
rnacentral:rRNA from 1 species